AUUGAACGCUGGCGGCACGCCUUACACAUGCAAGUCGAACGGCAGCACGGGAGCAAUCCUGGUGGCGAGUGGCGAACGGGUGAGUAAUACAUCGGAACGUGCCCAGUAGUGGGGGAUAACCCGGCGAAAGCCGGACUAAUACCGCAUACGACCUACGGGUGAAAGCAGGGGAUCGCAAGACCUUGCGCUAUCGGAGCGGCCGAUGUCAGAUUAGCUUGUUGGCGGGGUAAAAGCCCACCAAGGCGACGAUCUGUAGCUGGUCUGAGAGGACGACCAGCCACACUGGGACUGAGACACGGCCAGACUCCUACGGGAGGCAGCAGUGGGGAAUUUUGGACAAUGGGCGCAAGCCUGAUCCAGCCAUGCCGCGUGC
rnacentral:rRNA from 1 species